CUCCCUGGCUCUGUGCCCCUGUGCUGGCUCAGGAGGCAGCUGGGGAGGGGGAGGACACCUGGGAACCUGGAGCUGGGGUCACUGAGGGACCUGUGAAGGGCAGUGCUGGGAUCUCCCCUGCUGAAGAUUGCUUCAGGGUCUAACACCAGGACACCUCAGGGCAAAACCAGGAGUUAAAAUUGCCCAGCACCAGAAACAGGGCCACACAACCAGAACGAAACAUGUUCCUUCUCCCUUCUGCAUGAAGCUUUCCAAGAAGUCUUUAAUGAAACUCUUGGUGUCCCUCAGUGUUGGAGCUCCAGCUAAACCCAACAGCAGGGAAAGGGACAAUCCCUCACAGCUCAGCUUGCCCUGACCUGCAGAGCAGCCAGGGGGUGCUGGGGGGGAUUUCUCACUGCCAGGAAAUGCUUCCAAAGGCUGCUGUGCAGCCCCAGCACAGGGACCUGGUCUCUCUGUUCCCAGCCCUGUCACUGCCAUGACAUCAGCUGGGACCAGUCACUUCCCGUGGGUGUCCCAGCCAAACAGUGCCUGGAAGCUGCCUGGAUUGUGCAGAAACUCACUCUGAGCACCCUGACUGCUGCUGAAUCAAAUGAAGUGAAUCAGAGAGUUCUGCAGGGCUGCCCCAAAGCAAGCUGCAAGCUGUUCCUCUCUCAGCUCUGAGUGCUGGGAAGAGGAAUGUGAGCAGGGUAAUGAUGUUGUACACAGAGUUUUGGAGCACUCAGUGUUCUCAGAAAUGUAAAUAACACCACAAAACACCACAUGGGAUAUG